rnacentral:rRNA from 1 species
CCUACGGGUGGCAGCAGUGAGGAAUAUUGGUCAAUGGGCGAGAGCCUGAACCAGCCAAGUCGCGUGAAGGAUGAAGGCCCUAUGGUUUGUAAACUUCUUUUAUAUGGGAAUAAAGUGAGGAACGUGUUCCUUUUUGUAUGUACUAUAUGAAUAAGCAUCGGCUAACUCCGUGCCAGCAGCCGCGGUAAUACGGCGGAUGCGAGCGUUAUCCGGAUUUAUUGGGUUUAAAGGGAGCGUAGGUGGUUAUUUAAGUCAGCGGUGAAAGUUUGUGGCUCAACCAUAAAAUUGCCGUUGAAACUGGUUGACUUGAGUAUAUUUGAGGUAGGCGGAAUGCGUGGUGUAGCGGUGAAAUGCAUAGAUAUCACGCAGAACUCCGAUUGCGAAGGCAGCUUACUAAACUAUAACUGACACUGAAGCGCGAAAGCGUGGGGAGCAAACAGGAUUAGAUACCCGAGUAGUC